AGGGCCUGUGGUGGGUUUCUCAGUAGGCCGAGUCUUUCUAUAAAAUCUCUUGGAAUCUAGUAGCCCUGCUGUCAAUGGCAGCUGGCUUUAAAGGGUUUGUUUUGUUUUGUUUUGUUUUUCCUGUUCUCUUUUUUUGGCCCUGCCUGCCUCCCCCGUCUUUUCUGCUAUCACUCAUUUAUUUCUCUAUUAGGAUCUUGGUUUAUUAUUGCUUUUGCUAGGGUAGGGGUAAAUAAAUUGAUUUAUGCCCCUCCCCCUUCCCUCAGCGGAAACGGCUGGAGGAGGAGGAGCCUGGCCUGGCUCUAGGGGUUGAGGGCGGGGUUGAGGGCGGAGCCAAGUCAGUACUGGAUGUCCUGCCAAAGACACAUUCUUCAGAGAUGUAUCACGCUUGUCUCCCUCCCUCCUUCGCCCUUGUCAUCUCUCAAGCUGGAUUCAAAGCAGGUCUGCCGAAGCCAGCUCCUACACCAAGAUCCAGGGACGGCUAUAAUCUGAGACCGAGUGUAUUCAGGGCCACCACUGAUGUGACGGGAAAACAAUCAACGGGGUCUAUCUUCUCUGCUUCCCAAAUAAACACGAUCCACCCA